CGUGUGUGAAGAAGGCCUUUUGGUUGUAAAGCACUUUAAGCAGGGAGGAGAGGCUAAUGGUUAAUACCCAUUAGAUUAGACGUUACCUGCAGAAUAAGCACCGGCUAACUCUGUGCCAGCAGCCGCGGUAAUACAGAGGGUGCGAGCGUUAAUCGGAAUUACUGGGCGUAAAGCGAGUGUAGGUGGCUCAUUAAGUCACAUGUGAAAUCCCCGGGCUUAACCUGGGAACUGCAUGUGAUACUGGUGGUGCUAGAAUAUGUGAGAGGGAAGUAGAAUUCCAGGUGUAGCGGUGAAAUGCGUAGAGAUCUGGAGGAAUACCGAUGGCGAAG
rnacentral:rRNA from 1 species